rnacentral:rRNA from 1 species
GGUUGAAGGUUGGGUAACACUAACUGGAGGACCGAACCGACUAAUGUUGAAAAAUUAGCGGAUGACUUGUGGCUGGGGGUGAAAGGCCAAUCAAACCGGGAGAUAGCUGGUUCUCCCCGAAAGCUAUUUAGGUAGCGCCUCGUGAAUUCAUCUCCGGGGGUAGAGCACUGUUUCGGCAAGGGGGUCAUCCCGACUUACCAACCCGAUGCAAACUGCGAAUACCGGAGAAUGUUAUCACGGGAGACACACGGCGGGUGCUAACGUCCGUCGUGAAGAGGGAAACAACCCAGACCGCCAGCUAAGGUCCCAAAGUCAUGGUUAAGUGGGAAACGAUGUGGGAAGGCCCAGACAGCCAGGAUGUUGGCUUAGAAGCAGCCAUCAUUUAAAGAAAGCGUAAUAGCUCACUGGUCGAGUCGGCCUGCGCGGAAGAUGUAACGGGGCUAAACCAUGCAC